rnacentral:rRNA from 1 species
CCUACGGGUGGCAGCAGUAGGGAAUUUUCGGCAAUGGGGGGAACCCUGACCGAGCAACGCCGCGUGAACGAAGAAGUUAUUCGUAAUGUAAAGUUCUUUUAACAGGGAAGAAAGAGAAAUUUGACGGUACCUGAAGAAUAAGCUCCGGCUAACUACGUGCCAGCAGCCGCGGUAAUACGUAGGGAGCGAGCGUUAUCCGGAUUUAUUGGGUUUAAAGGGUGCGCAGGCGGAGGUGCAAGUCAGCGGUCAAAUUGCGGGGCUCAACCCCGUACUGCCGUUGAAACUGCAUCCCUUGAGUGCGCGAGAAGUAUGCGGAAUGCGUGGUGUAGCGGUGAAAUGCAUAGAUAUCACGCAGAACUCCGAUUGCGAAGGCAGCAUACCGGCGCGCAACUGACGCUCAUGCACGAAAGCGUGGGUAUCGAACAGGAUUAGAUACCCCAGUAGUC